CGUUAGAUAGCCAAGUGGUCGAAGGCAACAGUCUCAUAAACUGUUAUUUUAAAUUCGUAGGUUCGAAUCCUACUCUAACUU
rnacentral:tRNA from 1 species